GUAAACGUCAAUGUCGGCGAGGUUUCCGGAAGCUGUGACAGGAGCUGCUCUGGAGGGGAAGAUACUGAGCCCCAGGGGCGGGGGGCUGUGCACCUGACCGGGCCGCCCCCACCGGACCCGGGUGUGGUCCGGGUCCCGGUCCCGAUCCCGAAGGGCGCAGACAGGCCCUCCUGGCCGGCCGCCCGCUGGUCGGGAUGCAGUCACUAGAACCGGAGGGGUGUGGGCCUGAGGGGACACCCAGUGUUAUGCCUGAGGCCCAACCUGAUCCUCCACCUGCCCCACCUAAGCUUCCAGUGCUUGACCUCUUCAACUUGGUCCUGUUUUACAAGAGGCUUGUUCUCUACUUGGAGCCCCUCAAGGAUGCAGGGGAUGGGAUCCUUUAUUUGCUCAGGUGGCAGACACCAGUGUGUUCCUUGCUGACCUGCCUGGGCCUCAAUUUCCUCUUCCUCACUCUGAAUGAGGGUGCCUGGUACUCAGUGGGUGCCCUGCUGAUUUCUGUGCCUGCCUUGCUGGGCUACCUGCAGGAGGUGUGCCGGGUCCGCCUCCCUGAGCCCGAGCUGAUGCGGAGGAAGUGUCACGGUGUGCGGCAGGAUGAUCUGCGGAAGGUCCGGCUGUCACGGCCUGAGGCCGUGGCAGAGGUGAAGAGCUUCUUGAUCCAGUUGGAGAGCUUCUUGAAUCAGUUGUGCUGUAGGUGUGAGUCGGUCUAUCGAGUGUUGUACUGGGAGAACCCAGCAGUGUCCUCACAAUUCUAUGGAGCCCUGUUGGGAUCCGUCUUUGUGCUGUAUGUGUUACCCCUGUGCUGGGUCCUUGCCCUUCUCAACAGCACUCUCUUUCUGGGAAAUGUGGAGUUCUACCGAGUAGUGGCAGAAUACCGGGCUACCCUGCAGCAGAGGAUGAACCCUAAGCUUUCAGUGAACACUGAGGGAUGCCUGGAAUCAGACGGCGGAGGAAAAGGAGCGUUGCUGGACUGCAGUUCAACCCCUACUCCCACCGAGGACCUCACACCAGGCAGUGUGGAGGAGGCAGAAGAGGCUGAGCCAGAUGAAGAAUUUAAAGAUGCUAUUGAGGAAACCCACUUGGUGGUGCUGGAGGAUGAUGAGGGAUCUCCCUGCAAUGUGGAAUAUGAUCUGGCCCUACACGACAAUGGUUUUAUGAGCAAGAAUGAAGUGAUUCGAAGCAAGGUGUCUCGACUCACUGAGAAGCUCCGAAAACGUUAUCCCACCAACAAUUUCGGAAACUGUACAAGCUGCUCGGCUACCUUCUCAGUGCUGAAGAAGCGGCGCAGCUGCAGUAACUGUGGAAACAGCUUUUGCUCCCGGUGCUGCUCCUUCAAGGUCCCCAAGUCCUCCAUGGGAGCCACAGUGGAUAGUGUGAGUGCUUGAAGUUGCCUCUGGUUCCUUGGGAGAGAGCAUUGUUGUCAUGGUGGCCAUGAAAUCCCCAGGAUUUCUCAAGAACUGCUGUUUCCAUGGAAAAAGAAAUUCUAAAUGCCAACCCCUGAAGCACAGAGAGAGACUGUAUUUGUGUGUGGCUCAUGUAACCAGACCCUGAGCAAGUGAGAAGAGAGUCCUAGGAGGGGCAUUCGUGAGCCCAUCCUGCCCACCCUCCCCUCCUGAGCCUGCUCCAGAGGCUAGCAGUUAGAGUCUCCCCAGAUACCUCAUUCCAGUGUAGCUGGGCAGAGCUGGGUGUGAACAUUGGAUGGGUGCCUCCCCUUCCUUUCAUCACCUUUGACAUACCUGCCCUAGGGUCACUGAUGACAUUUCUAGCUUCUCUUUAUAUUCCUCUGGAUGACUAGAAUGAUAGCUCCCCUCAAAUCUCUGUGCAGGGUAACCCCUGGAUUGCUAAAAGUGUCCUCUGCUACAGUGGACUGUAGGGGAAGCAAAAUUGAAUGGGAAAUUAGAGUGGGCAGCAGUGAGUGAAUUCCAAAUCUUGGCCUGAUUACUUGUAAGUAGGGCUUAACCUUCACCCUGUGGCCUUCAUGAUACUGGUAGUUGUGGAAGGAACUGGACCCCUAAAGCUAUAAAGGAACCUUCAUUGCACAUUAGCUUGUAGGGACAGAAACACCUGAGUACUUGAUCCCAGGUGGCCUUCCAGGAGAGCUUGUCUAGAGAUGGUUGGGUGGUAGCCAUAGCUCCCUGUCCGUGGCAUUUCAAUGCCCCUACUAGGGCUGCAGUUGCAGGCUGUCACCAUGUGACCUCUGGGGCUGUAAUUGUCAAGGGCGCAGAAUG